rnacentral:rRNA from 1 species
AGAGCGAACGCUGGCGGCAUGCUUAACACAUGCAAGUCGCACGGGCAUUUCGGUGUCAGUGGCGGACGGGUGAGUAACGCGUAGGUAUCUAUCCUUGGGUGGGGGAUAACGGUUGGAAACGACUGCUAAUACCGCAUGAUAACUGAGGUUUAAAGGCGCAAGUCGCCUGGGGAGGAGCCUGCGUACGAUUAGCUUGUUGGUGGGGUAAAGGCCUACCAAGGCGACGAUCGUUAGCUGGUCUGAGAGGAUGAUCAGCCACAUUGGGACUGAGACACGGCCCAAACUCCUACGGGAGGCAGCAGUGGGGAAUAUUGGACAAUGGGCGAAAGCCUGAUCCAGCAAUGCCGCGUGUGUGAAGAAGGUCUUCGGAUUGUAAAGCACUUUCGACAGGGACGAUGAUGACGGUACCUGUAGAAGAACGCCCCGGCUAACUUCGCGCCAGCAGCCGC